AAUUUUUAAAUUUUAACUCAUAUUUUAAUUAAAAAAGUUGAAAAAAUAAAUUUAAUCCAAAUAAAUAUCUAUUCCGUCCGGAUUCAACUUUCAAUCCGGCCUCCUAAGCCGGAUUGAAAAAAGAGGUGAUUGGGGAAUUUCCAUUCCACUCGGGAAUCGGAAUCGGAAUGGAACUCCCGCGUACCAAAUACCCACAAACAGAUUUAUCCAUUCCGAUUCCGAUUCCGAUUCCAAGAUGAAAAGGAAGCGAACCAAACACGCCCUUAAAGUUGAUCUUGAUUCUUGAGUAUUUAAAGUGUUUAGAAACUAAAUUUCAUACUCUAAAAAUUAUUCACAUAAUGAUCAAAGAAUCACAAAAUCAAUACUUUUUGAUGGCCUCUAUGAGCUGUUUGCUUGUUUAACGGUGGAAAACAAUUCAAACAACUUGAAUUUUUGAUAGAAAUUUUUUUAUACAAUUUAGAUAGCGUUUGAUAACUUCGAUUAUGAAUAAAAAAAGUCUAACAUCUAUUUUCACAAGAUUGUUCAUUUUUCAUCGUUCAUUUUUCGACCCUUUCGACCAUUCAAUGAACUUGAUAAUGAAUUUUAAAAUUUAUAAAAUUUAGUUUCUACUUUCUACACGUUAUUAAAGAAUAUUAUAAUUGGCUAAAUAAUACUACUAAAAAAAUAUUUAGCGAAAUAAUCUUUCUUUUGGCAAAUCAGUUUUAAAUACGAUAAAUCAUUUACUAUUUUAAUGCUAUUCUGAUUGGUCUAGAAAUACAAGUGUUUUUUUUUUUUUGAGAGAUACUUAUUUCAUCUAGAAAUAAACUUAGCUGAAAAUGUGAAUUAACUAGGAUUCGAACUUGGGUCUCGGAUAUCAACCAUCAAGCUCUUUGCCACUUGCUCUGGAACGGUAAGUAGAAAUAAAGUUUUUAAAGUUCAUAAAAAAAUGUUGCAGAGGGGCAUUUAGGGACGGUAGGUAGAAAUGAAGUUUUUAAAGUUCGUAAAAAAUGUUGCAGGGUUUGGGGCAUCUACUCCUAGGGCUGGCAAAUGAGCGAGCCGGCUCGCGUUCGACUCGCGUUCGACUCGAUAUUUGGCUCGCUCGAGCUCAACUCGAAAUUAAAUGAGCCGAGCUUGAACAAAAAAAAAGGCUCGAAAUUCAUUUCAAGCCGAGCUUGAGUAUUACUCGGCUCGUUCGAAUUAGGCUCGAAAAGCUCGAAAAGGUCGAAUAUAUAUAUAUAUAUAUAUAUAUAUACUAUGCUAUCGAAAGUAUAAAGGAUCUGGUGCUUUCGAUUUUUUGAUUUUAGAUCAACUAAUCAUUUCUUUUAAUUAAUACCAUUAUUAACUUGUAGGGACCACUCAAUCUUAGGGAUAUUAUUUAAUCUUAGGGGGGAUCGCAAUCAUCCCAACCAUACAAUUCUUAAUCAAAGGUUCAAAAAUUCGAAAACAUCAAAUCCUCUAUAUUUUUAGCUAGAUCAGUUUUAACGGUGUGGAUCGUUGAUUUGAACGCCCUAAGAUCGAAAACCAACACUAUAGUACCGGAGCUCGGUACUAUAGAUAGUAUAGUAGCCUAGCUCUCUAUAUAUAUAUAUAUAUUAAAAAAUAUAUAAAUAUAAUAUAUUUUAAUUAUAUAUAGGUUGAAUGAAUAAUCUGAAUUUAGUUAAAAUUGGGCUAAUAUUGUUGGCCCAUAAAAACAAACCGAAUAGAUAAAUAAAAGAGCAAAAUUUUAUUAAAUUUAUACAUUUUUUCUUUCUUUCUUUCUUUCAUAUAGCUCUAAAUUUUCAAUAUAUUUCUCUUUUUCUCUUUUUCUGUCUCUCACCCUAUGUGGCCAAGCCGGAAGCCCUUCAAGUUACCAAAUAGCAGCAUAUGCCUGGCGUUGCCUAUCUUGCUAUUAAUUGUAUGCUUGAGAAUAUAUACAGAAUAUUUUUAAAGUAAAAAAUUUUAUUCAUGUAAAAUUUUAAUUUUAGUUAUAUAUGAUUGGAUAGUUUAAUCCAAUAUUUAUCUAUAUAUAUAAUUUAUUUAUUUUUGACUGCAUAAAUGAAAAUAAAUAUAUAUGGAGAUUGAAGGCGGAAGAAAAGACAUGUGAGACUGAAAAGAUUAGAUAUUCAACUCAUAAAUUUUUUUUUUUCAUAUUAUAAUACUAUAUUUUAUAUAAUUAUUUUAUACUUUGAACUAUUAGACAUAUUUUUAUAUCAAAUUAUAGAUAAUGUUCUAUACAAAUUAAACUAUUGAUCGUAUGAUGUUGAGAAUUUCAAGCGGCUCGUUUAGGGCUCGAGCUCGCUCGACUCGAAAUUAGGCUCGCUCGAGCUCGGCUCGAAUUAAUUUCAAUCCAAGCUUGAGCUUAAAUUUAGAUUCGAAAUUAAUUUCAAGUCGAAUUUGAGCCGAGGUAAGCUCGCUCGGGCUCGGCUCGUUUCCACCCCUAU
rnacentral:lncRNA from 1 species